rnacentral:lncRNA from 1 species
UUUGUCUCUCAUCGUCCACCUAGAGAGGACGCCGAAGUUGCCUUAUGUAGAAAUAUAAUAUUUUGUUUGUUGUUGUAUUUCAUAAUAAAGAUUACAACCUAUUUACUAUACCACAUCUUUAUCUGUCACUGUGUCCAAAUAAUGAAUAUAAACUGUAAAAUAAGACAGUAUCUAAACAGAAAGGAAAAUCAAGUCUAUGAUUAUACAAUCCCUAAGAUUAAGCAACGAACCCAUCUAUCAAUAUUUACUUUCUAUAUUAAUAUAUUUACUUCCUAUAAUCUAUAACGCUCCCUCUCAAGUUGGAGCAUAAAUGUUAAUCAUGCCCAACUUGUUACAUAUAUAAUCAACUCGUCCCAUACAACUAAGCAGACAUUGAAUUUGUGAACCCAACUUCUUCCAAUAAUUGACGUACCCACAAAACUUCACAAACGGUUUUUGCCAUGACUCGACAUUCAGGUUCAGCACUAGAACAAAAGACCAUAUUUUCUCAACUUGGUAAAACGCCUUGCACACAUCAUAAAUACGAGAAAUAUUCCCUUUGCCAGAAUAUAUAAAUUCCAAAUACUCCAUUAAUUCUUUAAUAAAUUCAGAAUGAUUAAUAAGACUAAUCACCUUACUGUGAAUAGAAUUUCGAAUUCGUGAACAAUACUCGAUGAACAGUACUCGUGACUCUUGCACAGUACCCGAUGAACAGUACCCGAUGAAUAAUUCCCGUGAACAAUACCUGAUGAACAGAGCCCUAAGUCUUCAAAUGUUACCCUUUAUGGAUAACCCAAAUGAAUAGAGCCCUAAGUCUCCAAAUGUUACCCUUUAUAAGUAACCCAAAUGAACAGAGCCCUAAGUUUUCAAAUGUUACCCUUUUAUGAGUAACCCAAAUGAACAGAGCCAUUUAUGAGUAAGCCAAAUGAACAGAGAGGUCUUCAAAUGUUACCCUUUAUGAGUAAUCCAAAUGAACAAAGCCCUAAGUCUCCAAAUGUUACCCUUUAUGAGUAACCCAAAUGAACAAAGCCCUAAGUCUCCGAAUGUUACCCUUUAUGAGUAACCCAAAUGAACAGAGCCCUAGGUCUCUAAAUGUUACCCUUUAUGAGUACUCGUGAACAGAGCCCUAAGUCUCUAAAUGUUACCUAUUAUAUGUAACCCAAAUAAACAGAGCCCUAAGUCUCCAAAUGUUACCCUUUAUGAGUAACCCAAAUGAACAGAGCCUUAGGUCUCCAAAUGUUACCCUUUAUGAGUAACCCAAAUAAAUAGAGCCCUAAGUCUCCAAAUGUUACCCUUUUAUGGAUAACCCAAAUGAACAAAGCCUAAGUCUCCAAAUGUUACCCUUUUAUGGGUAACCCAAAUAAACAUAUCCCUAAGUCUCCAAAUGUUACUCUUUAUGGGCAAUCCAAAUAAAUAGUAUCAAAAAAAACCUCCACCCAACACCCAAACGAGCAUCAAAUCUAACAAGGGAGCUGCAAGGCGACUUUGGCAUCCUCUUUAGGUGAACGGUGAGAGACAAAUAUUAUUCUAGAUGGAUAACACAAAAGAACAGGAGUCCUGAGUCUCCAAAAAUUUAAGACUUGACGAGAGAGAAAAAAAAUAAAUCUCUACGAGAAGGCUUUGAUACCAUGUAGAAAUAUAAUAUUUUGUUUGUUGUUGUAUUUCAUAAUAAAGAUUACAUCCUAUUUAUAUAUAAAAGACGGUAUCUAAACAGGAAGGAAAAUCAAGUCCAUGAUUAUACAAUCCCUGAGAUUAAGCAACUAACCCAUCUAUCAAUAUUUACUUUCUAUAUUAAUAUAUUUACUUCCUAUAAUCUAUAACACCUUACAACCCGCUUAUCAGAUCUGUGGUUCGUUUGCCGUUUGGAUGUUGGGUGGAGGCAUUUAGUUGCCUUGCAACCCACUUGUCAGAUCUGUGAUUCGUUUGCCGUUUGAGUGUUGGGUUAUCUUCCUUUAAUUCGUUUGAAGGUAAAGGAGUAUAGAAUUUUGGUUGAAAUGGUUUUUAACAGUAAGACCAAUAUUAUUAAAAUUAUCCCAAUGUCUUCAGUAGCGGCUGAAAUAGGUAAAACGUGAUUUUGGGUUAUUCAUAAAGGGUAACAUUUGGAGACUUAGCGCUAUGUUCAUUUUAGGUUACCCAUAAAGGGUAACAUUUGGAGACUUAGGGCUCUGUUCAUUCGAGUUACCCAUAAAGGGUAACAUUUAGAAACCUGGGACUCUGUUCAUUUGGGUUAUCCAUAAAGGUAACAUUUAGAGACUUAGGGCUCUGUUCAUUUUGGGUUACCCAGGAUAAUAUUUGGAGACUUAGGGCUUUAUUCAUUUGGGUUACCCAUAAAGGAUAACAUUUGGAGACUUAGGGCUCUGUUCAUCGGGAUUACCCAUAAAGGGUAACAUUUGGAAACUUAGGGCUCUGUUCAUCGGGGUUACCCAUAAAGGGUAACAUUUGGAGAUUUAGGGCUAUGUUCAUUUGGGUUAUCCAUAAAUGGUAACAUUUGGAGACUUAGAGCUUUGUUCAUCGGAGUUACCCAUAAAGGAUAACAUUUGGAGACUUAGAACUCUGUUCAUUUGGGUUAUCCAUAAAGAGUAACAUUUGGAAACUUAGGGCUCUGUUCAUCGGGAUUACUCAUAAGAGUAACAUUUAGAGAUUUAGGGUUCUGUGCAUUUGGGUUACCCAUAAAGGGUAACAUUUGGAGAUAUCGGGCACUGUUCAUUGGGUAUUGUUCACGGGAACUAUACUGUUAAUCGGUUACUGUUCAUGAGUUACUGUUCACGGGUUCUGUUCUUCUGAUCCUUUGUUUAUUUUGAUUGUUUUGGGUUGGUUGUUCUUAUGGCUGAAAUUGAUUAAUUGAUUAUAUAUGUAACAAGUUGGGCAUGAUUAACAUUUAUGUUCCAACUUGAGGGGGAGUGUUAUAAGUUAUAGAAAGUAAAUAUGUUAAUAUAGGAAGUAAAUAUUGAUAGAUGGAUCAGUUACUUAAUCUUAGGAUUGUAUAAUCAUAUAUUUGAGUUUCUUUCCUAUUUAGAUACCGUCUCUCGUGUAUAAAUAGGUUGUAAUCUCUAUUGUGAAAUACAACAAACAAAUAUUAUAUUUCUACAUUCUGGAAUUAUAGAUCUCCACUUUUCUUUCUAAUUUCCUGUCAAUAGUCCCUUCUCAAUUUCCCUCCCUUUCUUCACAAUUCUUCUGUCAGGGUUCUGUAGCCUUAACAAUUAGUAUCAGAACAUGGAAUGAGUGGGUGAGGUCACUUUCCUAGUUGUUUGGAGCUGGAAGUAUAAUUAGAUCAAUGGUCAUAAGUCCUGAUGCUGUGAAGUUGGCUGAGCUGGAGGUUGUACCGAGAGUUCUCUAGGCGAAGUCUAAGAAAUGUGACAAUGGUUUAAGAGAGUGCUGCAAGAUCUGAGAGCAGAAAUUAAACAAUCUGCUAAGGACAGUAAGGAUGCUAUAUUGCAUGAUUUUGCAAUCAUUCAUAACUCAUCUGAUGAGUAAUAAGCUCAAGGGGAUAUGUGUGGAGGAAGAUGAAGCUAGGGUAAGAGGUAGUAGGGGCUAGAAGACAUGAGCUAGCAAGUAAUCUUGGAUCUAGUUUGAAGCUUGUUAUAGGAAGUAGAUAUGUUGACAUAGGAAGUAAAUAUGGAUAGAUUUGUUAGUUGCUUAAUCUUAGAAAUUGCAUAAACGGACUCCCCUUCCUUCUUAGAUAGGUUUUCUAUAUAUAAAUAUGUUGUCAUCUCUAUUGUAAUAUACACAAGAAAUAUUACUUCUCUACAUGGUAUCAAAGCCUUGUAGAUAAAAGAUUUGAAUUUUAUUUUUUCCCUCUAUUCUAUUUGGAGAUUUAGGACUCCAUUUGUCCUAUUCUUUUAGGUCACCCCUAUAGGGUGACGUUUGUCUCUUACCCCACCCACGAAGGACGCCGAAGAGCCGGCGAUACAGUCCUGAAGAGCUGACAACUUUUCAACCGGCGAGUGACUCUCAUGCGUCGCAACUAGUUUCUGAUGCCGUCCUAUGCGGAGGUGCGUCACUUGUCCACCUGUGAUCCGGUCACCAUCGCUGGUGUCAUUUUGAGGUCCUCUCUUCAGUUCUACGGUCAGUUUGCCAUUUGGGUGUUUUGUAGAGGUGUUUUUAGGUCGGAUUGCAUUUUGGAUACUUAUCACUCUUGAUACUAUUCACAUCCUUUUUUUUUUCCAGUGCCUUUCGUUGCCACUGAUUUGGAUACAUUAUUUCCAUGGCUGAAAUUAAAAAUACCGUAGCUUAUGUGAUUUCUGUGAUGACUAAAAAUCAUGGAACACAAAUUAAAUGGAUCUAAUUUUCUAGAUUAGAGUAGGACUAUUCGUGUUUAUCUACGAAGUAUUGGAAUUGACGAUCACCUUAUGAAGGAUCCUCUAACUGACGACACUAGGAAAGAUUGGAUGAGGGAUGAUGCUCGAUUAUUUUUGCAGAUUCGAAAUUUCAUUCAUAGUGAGGUAAUCAGUUUUAUUGAUCACUGUGAAUUUGUUAAAGAAUUAAUGGAUUAUUUAGAGUUUUUUAUACUCUGGCAAAGGGAAUAUUUCUCAUAUUUAUGAGGUAUGUAAGGCUUUUUAUCGGACUGAAAAACAGGAUAGAACUCUAACCUCAAAUUUUAUGGAUUUUAAAAGACUUUAUAAGGAACUUAACAAUGUCUUGAUACCUUUUAGCACAGAUGUGAAAACUCAACACGUUCAAGGAGAGCAAAUGGUUGUUAUGAGCUUCCUUGCAGGUCUCCCUCUAGAGUUUGAGACGGCUAAAUCUCAUAUUCUUUCUGAUUCUGAAAUGUCAUUGUUAUAUGAUGCUUUCACUAGGGUGUUGCGUAUAAAAUCUUCCUCUCUAGUUCCUUCACACACCACUAAUAUCCUUGUUAGACACAAUGACAGUGGCAGACAGAAUAACAGAGGUGGAAAUAGAAGAGGUUUUAAUGGUAGUAGAGGAUCUCAGCAUCCUGGGGAAGCAGUUCCUACUUCUAACUCUAGUGGUAUCAUUUGUUAUUAUUGCCGUGAACCUGGACACACUAAGAAUACAUGCAUGAAACUUCAAAAUAAGAAUUAGCGCUCACAAAUGGCACACAUGGCAGUUGAGGCUUCUCCUGAUCAGGGCAUAUUUUGAUAUUUGCAGAUGAGUAUGCACAAUUCACUCAAUACUAGACAUCUCUGAAAUCCUCUAAUUCUCCUAUCACUGCAAUUGCUGAGUUAGGUAACUCUGCUGUAUGCCUUGUGUCUUCAUUCUCAAAAUGGAUUAUUGAUUCUGGUGCUACCGAUCAUAUGUGAGGUAAUUCUGCCCUUUUGUCCAAUCUUAAGUCUCAUACAUUGUCUUCUUAUGUUACUCUUGCUGAUGGCUCUAAAUUUUCUAUCAUGGAUUUUGGAUAUGUCAACUUAAUACCUUCUCUUUUCGUAUCCUUUGUGUUAUGCCAUUCCUAAGUUUUUCUUUAAUUUGCUCUCUGUUAGUAAACUCACUCGUGCACUAAAUUGUUGUGUCUCAUUCUUUUUUCAUUGUUAUGUGUUUCAGGAUCUUUCAAUGAAGCAGAUUAUUGGUAAAGGACGUGAGUUAGAGGGUCUUUAAGAAAAUUCCUAGAUCUCUUACAUGUUCCAUGAGUUUAACUCCUUUUGAUGUUCACUGUCGGUUGGGGCAUUAUUUUCUCUUUGUUUUAAAGAAGUUAUGUCCACAGUUUCAAUCUUUAUCUGUUUUAGAUUGUGAGUCGUGUUAAUUUGCCAAACAUUAUCGUUUACCUAUAGUGUCUCGAGUCAAUAAACGAGCUUCGUCCCUCUUUGAGUUAGUAUA